AUACUUACCUGGCAGGGGAGAUACCUUGAUCACGAAGGAGGUUUUCCCAAGGUGAGGCUCAUCCAUUGCACUCCGGGUGUGCUGACCCCUGUGAUUUCCCCAAACGCCGGAAACUCGACUGCAUAAUUUGUGGUAGUGGAGGAUUGCGUUCGCGCUUUCCCCUG